UGCCAUGCCUUGCAUAUUUGAAUUGGACGUGCAUCAUAUUAGGUGGUGCAUCAUAUUGUGCAUGUGCCUGAUGACGAGAUGAUGUAUAUACUUCUCGCCCCUCGUUGGUUACCCCAAGUGAAAGGUGGAGAUGUAGUCAGCACCAAAUUUCCCUCACACAGAGUCUGUAAGAUUUAUCAAACUAGUAGGACUCCUAGGAACAAGUAGGUGUCUUCCACCCUGGCGCUAGCAUAAGACGUAGACCUGC
rnacentral:lncRNA from 1 species